rnacentral:piRNA from 1 species
UUACAGGGACAUAUUGUUGUUGCUUUAAAGA